ACACGCUUCGGAGAUGGCAUUCCUCCCUGAACCGCCGCUUCUGGCCUUGAAUCCUUGCGGGUUCGCCGGCCAGACGCAGCUGAUGAUGCCUACAAGUUC
rnacentral:ncRNA from 2 species